UACGGGGGGGGGCAAGCGUUGUUCGGAAUUACUGGGCGUAAAGGGCCAGUAGGCGGCCAACUAAGUCCGACGUGAAAUCCCCAGGCUUAACUUGGGAACUGCGUCGGAUACUGGAUGGCUUGAAUUCGGGAGAGGGAUGCAGAAUUCCAGGUGUAGCGGUGAAAUGCGUAGAUAUCGGGAGGAACACCAGUGGCGAAGGCGGCUUUCUGGUCUGCUCUUGACGCUGAGGCGCGAAAGCUAGGGUAGCAAACGGG
rnacentral:rRNA from 1 species